rnacentral:rRNA from 1 species
AUUUGCCUUUAGGAGGGGGACAACAACUGGAAACGGUUGCUAAUACCCCAUAUGCUUUCGAGUGAAAUGGAUUUCCGCCUAGAGAGAAGCUUGCGGCUGAUUAGCUUGUUGGUGAGGUAAUGGCUCACCAAGGCGACGAUCAGUAUCUGGUUUGAGAGGACGAUCAGACACACUGGAACUGAGACACGGUCCAGACUCCUACGGGAGGCAGCAGUAGGGAAUUUUCCGCAAUGGGCGAAAGCCUGACGGAGCAAUACCGCGUGAGGGAUGACUGCCUAUGGGUUGUAAACCUCCUUUUUCAGGGAGGAAUAAAUGACGUGUACCUGAAGAAUAAGCAUCGGCUAACUCCGUGCCAGCAGCCGCGGUAAGACGGAGGAUGCAAGUGUUACCCGGAAUCACUGGGCGUAAAGCGUCUGUAGGUGGCUCGAUAAGUCAACUGUUAAAUCUUGAAGCUCAACUUCGAAAUCGCAGUCGAAACUAUCGGACUAGAGUAUAGUAGAGGUAAAGGGAAUUUCCAGUGGAGCGGUGAAAUGCGUAGAUAUUGGAAAGAACACCGAUGGCGAAGGCACUUUACUGGGCUAUUACUGACACUCAGAGACGAAAGCUAGGGUAGCAAAUGG